GAUGAACGCUGGCGGCGUGCCUAAUACAUGCAAGUCGAGCGAACAGACGAGGCGCUUGCUCCUCUGAUGUUAGCGGCGGACGGGUGAGUAACACGUGGAUAACCUACCUAUAAGACUGGGAUAACUUCGGGAAACCGGAGCUAAUACCGGAUAACAUGUUGAACCGCAUGGUUCAACAGUGAAAGACGGUUUUGCUGUCACUUAUAGAUGGAUCCGCGCCGCAUUAGCUAGUUGGUAAGGUAACGGCUUACCAAGGCAACGAUGCGUAGCCGACCUGAGAGGGUGAUCGGCCACACUGGAACUGAGACACGGUCCAGACUCCUACGGGAGGCAGCAGUAGGGAAUCUUCCGCAAUGGGCGAAAGCCUGACGGAGCAACGCCGCGUGAGUGAAGAAGGUCUUCGGAUCGUAAAACUCUGUUAUUAGGGAAGAACAAAUGUGUAAGUAACUAUGCACGUCUUGACGGUACCUAAUCAGAAAGCCACGGCUAACUACGUG
rnacentral:rRNA from 1 species